rnacentral:rRNA from 1 species
CAGUCGCCGCGGUAAUACGUAGGUGGCAAGCGUUGUCCGGAAUUAUUGGGCGUAAAGCGCGCGCAGGCGGAUAGGUCAGUCCGUCUUAAAAGUUCGGGGCUUAACCCCGUGAUGAGAUGGAAACUGCCAAUCUAGAGUAUCGGAGAGGAAAGUGGAAUUCCUAGUGUAGCGGUGAAGUGCGUAGAUAUUAGGAAGAACACCAGUGGCGAAGGCGACUUUCUGGACGAAAACUGACGCUGAGGCGCGAAAGCCAGGGGAGCGAACGGGAUUAGAUACCCCGGUAGUCCCUGUCUCUUAUACA